UACGUAGGGGGCUAGCGUUGUCCGGAAUCAUUGGGCGUAAAGCGCGCGUAGGCGGCCCGGUAAGUCCGCUGUGAAAGUCAAAGGCUCAACCUUUGAAUGUCAGCGGAUACUGCCGGGCUAGAGUCCGGAAGAGGCGAGUGGAACUCCUGGUGUAGCGGUGGAAUGCGCAGAUAUCAGGAAGAACACCGACGGCGAAGGCAGCUCGCUGGGACGGUACUGACGCUGAGGCGCGAAAGCGUGGGGAGCGAACAGG
rnacentral:rRNA from 1 species